GGCGAACGGGUGAGUAACACGUGAGUAACCUGCCCUUGACUUUGGGAUAACUUCAGGAAACUGGAGCUAAUACCGGAUAGGAGCUCCUGCUGCAUGGUGGGGGUUGGAAAGUUUCGGCGGUUGGGGAUGGACUCGCGGCUUAUCGGCUUGUUGGUGGGGUAGUGGCUUACCAAGGCUUUGACGGGUAGCCGGCCUGAGAGGGUGACCGGCCACAUUGGGACUGAGAUACGGCCCAG
rnacentral:rRNA from 1 species